AACGAACGCUGGCGGCAUGCCUAACACAUGCAAGUCGAACGAGACCUUCGGGUCUAGUGGCGCACGGGUGCGUAACGCGUGGGAAUCUGCCCUUGGGUUCGGAAUAACAGUUGGAAACGACUGCUAAUACCGGAUGAUGACGUAAGUCCAAAGAUUUAUCGCCCAAGGAUGAGCCCGCGUAGGAUUAGCUAGUUGGUGAGGUAAAGGCUCACCAAGGCGACGAUCCUUAGCUGGUCUGAGAGGAUGAUCAGCCACACUGGGACUGAGACACGGCCCAGACUCCUACGGGAGGCAGCAGUGGGGAAUAUUGGACAAUGGGCGAAAGCCUGAUCCAGCAAUGCCGCGUGAGUGAUGAAGGCCUUAGGGUUGUAAAGCUCUUUUACCCGGGAUGAUAACGACAGUACCGGGAGAAUAAGCUCCGGCUAACUCCGUG
rnacentral:rRNA from 1 species